rnacentral:rRNA from 1 species
AGGACGAACGCUGGCGGCGUGCUUAACACAUGCAAGUCGAGCGGAAAGGCCCUUCGGGGUACUCGAGCGGCGAACGGGUGAGUAACACGUGAGUAACCUGCCCCUAGCUCUGGGAUAGCUCCGGGAAACCGGGAUUAAUACCAGAUACGACCACUUUAGACAUCUGUCGUGGUGGAAAGGAUUCCGGCUAGGGAUGGGCUCGCGGCCUAUCAGCUUGUUGGUGGGGUAACGCCUACCAAGGCGACGACGGGUAGCCGGCCUGAGAGGGCGACCGGCCACACUGGGACUGAGACACGGCCCAGACUCCUACGGGAGGCAGCAGUGGGGAAUAUUGCGCAAUGGGCGAAAGCCUGACGCAGCGACGCCGCGUGGGGGAUGAAGGCCUUCGGGUUGUAAACCCCUUUCAGCAGGGACGAAGCGAAAGUGACGGUACCUGCAGAAGAAGCGCCGGCUAACUACGUGCCAGCAGCCGC